GAUGAACGCUGGCGGCAUGCCUAAGACAUGCAAGUCGAACGAGAUGGCCCAGUGAAGGUUGCGUGCUUGCACAAGACUGAAUCUGGAUCACCAUCUAGUGGCAGACGGGUGAGUAACACGUGGGUGACCUACCUUUUCGUUGGGGAUAACAGUUGGAAACGAUUGCUAAUACCGAAUAAAAUAUAAGAGCCAAUUUUANAUUGAAAGGAGCCUUUAAAGCUUCGCGAUUAGAUGGGCCUGCGGCGUAUUAACUUGUUGGUGAGGUAACGGCUCACCAAGGUACGAUGCGUAGCCGAACUGAGAGUUGAUCGGCCACACUGGGACUGAGACACGGCCCAGACUCCUACGGGGAGACAGCAGUUAGG
rnacentral:rRNA from 1 species